AGAGUGCUAUCCUUUACCUUUAGA
rnacentral:siRNA from 1 species